rnacentral:misc_RNA from 1 species
GAUUUCGAAGAGAAGGUAUUAAUUAUCGCCUCACUUUUAAUUAAUACCCUCAUCUAAAAAAUAAACCCAGACUCCUUGAUUUCAUUCUUCUUGUUAUUGAUCUGCCCAAUUAUUUGCAUUUUAUCAAAAUUUUCAAAUUCUUUGUAUCUUUUGUUAAUGUUUGCGUAAUAAUUGGAGGACUCUUUGCUAUACAUAAACAUUGAGAUUAGGGCUGCAAUCCAAUUGUUUGGUAUACGUUAAUCUAACUUAAGAGUGUAUUUGAGAAUGGGUUUAAUUUAAUGUACAGACUUGGUCUUCCAUGUUUGUGUAUAAAAUGCAUAUUCUUUGUCUCGAGUUUGUUGAUUGCACAGGAUUUUUUUUUCCCCAACAUGCCUUGGGACACUGGUACACAUUUCUGAGUGAAGCAUUUGAACCGUCAAGUCCUUUCAAACCCCUUAGGUUGAGGAUAGCGUCUAGACUUACACUUUGUUUUUUGGAAUCCUUAAUUGUGCAAGGGAAAUGAAAGAGAAAUUAGGCAGGGGAAACGAAAGAGAAAAGAAAAUUCCUUUAUGUUGUUCGGAUAAAUUAGGAUAAAUUAUUAUUAUAUGAGGGAAAUACAAUUUCUCCCUUAAAAGGAGGAAAAAUUACUAUUAUACCCCUAUUUUUUUUUAUGUUAGGAGAAAUUACAAAAAAUUACCAUCUGGUUCGCUCAUUUUUUCUCCGGCGUAUGUGGUUCACUUUUUGACAAAGUAGUACUUUGAGGUUUAGCUCCCUUAGCAAACCACGAUUUUCCAUUUAUCUUCACUAAUUAUAUGCUGAAAUGAAUUAAAAAAAGUAAUAUUCAUGCUGAUGUCGAUAAA